CUAUGUUGAAACACCAGUUAUCGUACGAUCACCGAAGUUAAGCAACGUCGAGCCUGGUCAGUACCUAGAUAGGUGAUCGCUUUGGAAUGCUAGUUG